UGCAGUCGAGCGGUAGAGAGAAGCUUGCUUCUCUUGAGAGCGGCGGACGGGUGAGUAAUGCCUAGGAAUCUGCCUGGUAGUGGGGGAUAACGUUCGGAAACGGACGCUAAUACCGCAUACGUCCUACGGGAGAAAGCAGGGGACCUUCGGGCCUUGCGCUAUCAGAUGAGCCUAGGUCGGAUUAGCUAGUUGGUGAGGUAAUGGCUCACCAAGGCGACGAUCCGUAACUGGUCUGAGAGGAUGAUCAGUCACACUGGAACUGAGACACGGUCCAGACUCCUACGGGAGGCAGCAGUGGGGAAUAUUGGACAAUGGGCGAAAGCCUGAUCCAGCCAUGCCGCGUGUGUGAAGAAGGUCUUCGGAUUGUAAAGCACUUUAAGUUGGGAGGAAGGGCAGUUACCUAAUACGUAAUUGUUUUGACGUUACCGACAGAAUAAGCACCGGCUAACUCUGUGCCAGCAGCCGCGGUAAUACAGAGGGUGCAAGCGUUAAUCGGAAUUACUGGGCGUAAAGCGCGCGUAGGUGGUUUGUUAAGUUGGAUGUGAAAUCCCCGGGCUCAACCUGGGAACUGCAUUCAAAACUGACUGACUAGAGUAUGGUAGAGGGUGGUGGAAUUUCCUGUGUAGCGGUGAAAUGCGUAGAUAUAGGAAGGAACACCAGUGGCGAAGGCGACCACCUGGACUAAUACUGACACUGAGGUGCGAAAGCGU
rnacentral:rRNA from 1 species